GUCAGGAAUCACUCCUCCUCAGUCCUGCCCCCAAGCCUUUUCGGCUACAAAGCUCACUGGGGGCUAAUUUGUUUCACUGGUCCCAGUCUCUCAGGAGCCGUUGUAAAAGUGCUGUGCCCAUUUUGGGUCUGGGGAGUCACUGUCUUGCCUCCUGCUACAAAAGCAAGCAAGCAGAGGCUCUUACCUGUAAGAAAGAAAGAGAUCUUUACUCAUGCAAUGAACUGUACAGGCUCAGCAGCAGACAGAGUGCUCAGGGGUCAUGAUUUAGGACUUCAGGAGCAGGGCAAGAAGUUUGGAACUGGACAGAAUCAAUGCAGAUGUCCCAACAAGUUUCCAUGCUGCAUCUGCCAAGCUUUUAAAGAUGAG